GACGAACGCUGGCGGCGUGCCUAAUACAUGCAAGUAGAACGCUGAAGGAGGAGCUUGCUUCUCUGGAUGAGUUGCGAACGGGUGAGUAACGCGUAGGUAACCUGCCUGGUAGUGGGGGAUAACUAUUGGAAACGAUAGCUAAUACCGCAUAAUAGCAGUUGUUGCAUGAUAACUGUUUGAAAGGUGCAAUUGCACCGCUACCAGAUGGACCUGCGUUGUAUUAGCUAGUUGGUGGGGUAACGGCUCACCAAGGCGACGAUACAUAGCCGACCUGAGAGGGUGAUCGGCCACACUGGGACUGAGACACGGCCCAGACUCCUACGGGAGGCAGCAGUAGGGAAUCUUCGGCAAUGGACGGAAGUCUGACCGAGCAACGCCGCGUGAGUGAAGAAGGUUUUCGGAUCGUAAAGCUCUGUUGUAAGAGAAGAACGAGUGUGAGAGUGGAAAGUUCACACUGUGACGGUAUCUUACCAGAAAGGGACGGCUAACUACGU
rnacentral:rRNA from 1 species